rnacentral:lncRNA from 10 species
CCAAGACUAUCUGGAUGUGAACAUAAACGUCCAUAAGGUCUGGUAGUAUGUUAUUUUGCUAAUGUUCCUGGAAUGACCUGCUUGACAAUGGGAGGCUAUUAGCUCCAUUGUCAAGGAGCUAAGCAACACCUCUAGGUGACUCUCCUGCUGCAGCUCAGGAACAUUUGAAAGGCAAUAUACUCUUCUUUCAAUCUGCAGAGAAUGGAUUCACUCAAGAUCACCCAGAGACUGGAUCUCACUACUUGCCUAGCUCUUGAACUCCUGGCCUCAAGCAAUCCUCCUGCCUCAACCUCCCAAAGUGCUGGGAUUACAGGAGUGAGCCACUAUGCCCCACAUGAUUUGAAAGUGAGAAGAAGCAGGCAAGUAUUCCUAUUUUCUCUAUUUAGAGAAAACAGUCAAGCAAAUAAACCACCAAACCUAGAUGGGGAAGAGACUGGCCCAGGUGCUCCAGUGAAGAAUUGAGCUCUGCCGCCUCAAGAAUAGUGGUUCUCAAAGUGUAACGUCAAGAGCAGCACUAUCAGCAUUGUCUGGGAGCAUACUGAUGCAUGUUAUCGUGGGGGCAGGCAGUAUAUGGAAAAUUUGUACCUUCUCCUGAAUUUUGCUAUAAACCUUAAACUACUCUACAAUGUGUACUUAUUUUUAAAAAUGCAUGCAUUUGACCCUACCCCACAUCUACCGAACCACAAACUCUGGGGCUGGACUCAACAAUCUGAUUCAGCAAGCCCUCCAGCUGGGUGCAGACAAUCAUUAAUCCCCU